UUGUAUCAUACGUUUUUUUGUCUAAUUUCUUUAGCAUUUCUUUGAAAUUAGAAUUAGCUGAUUUUGAAGAGGACAACUGAAGACGUUCAUAUGUCUCCUGGAUUGCUUUGCUGCCAUCAAGAAGCACUCUCGCACCAUCCUCACUGAGAACUGGUUCCUCUGUGCGUCUCGGAUCUGGGAUGGAGUGAAGAAGACCUCGGCUCUGAGUACAGACAGCCACUUUCCUAGUGUCCACACAAGCCUCUGCACCUAACGGUGGAUCACCAUGGAAACGGGACACCAUGAGGAAACACCAGAGACGUAUUCGACUCACGGAAAGGAAGAGGGAACCAGAUUUAGGCUUGUUUUCCACAAACUUUACUCACUCUUAUCUUUUCAGAAAGUUAGAAUAAAGAAAAAAGGUCAAACUCAAGUUGGGUACAGAUAGACAGAAUUCAUAGAUGAAUAUAAACCCAUAGGUAGAUUAUAUUGGUUACAGAUUGAGUUACUUGGGAGAUUCAUUCGUUUUAUUUAAAAGAAAUAUUCCUGAAAAAAUACCAGCCCCAAUGAAUGUCCCAUAAUACCAAAAGACAUACAUUUCAUGAGAUGUAGAUCAUUUUCAUUUUGUAAAAUAAACAAUCCUGCCAAGUAUUUGUCCAUGGUGUCUCAUUACAAAGAUUGCUUGGCUGUUUUUUUUUCUCAAUACAAACAGUACUACAUAUUGCUCAAAAAUACACAACCUAAUUUCGAUGAGAUCAUCUUCAUCAAGAUCAAAGGCACUAGUACAGAAAGGCACUUGAACUGCAGAGAAGUAGUUUCUUCACACCGGUGACUGCAAAGCUCUCAUCAGGACCUUUUGUGCAUCCUCUGCCAGCUCAUUCAAGCAGCUUGUCAGCAUCCUGUGGGUGGUGGCGAACGAGAUUCCCGU